rnacentral:rRNA from 1 species
UACGUAGGGGGCGAGCGUUAUCCGGAUUUACUGGGCGUAAAGAGCGCGUAGGCGGCUUUUCAGGUCGGUGGUGAAAGGCCCGGGCUUAACUCGGGUAGGUCCAUCGAAACCGAAGAGCUUCGAGGGCAGUAGAGGAAGGUGGAAUUCCGGGUGUAGUGGUGAAAUGCAUAGAGAUCCGGAGGAACACCGGUGGCGAAGGCGGCCUUCUGGGCUGGCCCUGACGCUGAGGCGCGAAAGCGUGGGGAGCGAACUGA